AGGGAAGAGUAGCAGCAUAGUGCGGUGAGAAUCCGCACCACCGAAGGGGUAAGGGUUCCUCGGCAAUGAUUAUCAGCCGAGGGUUAGCCGGUCCUAAGGUCAAUCUUAACCGACUUGAUCGAAAGGGAAAUGCGUUAACAUUCGUAUGCCUCUCUGCAAUAAUGGUGACGGCUAGGGCUAGCUCGCGCACUUCAGUCAUGGAGUGUCGAAACGUUCGAAGCGAUCGGAGAACCGUCAUGGUGAGAAGAUCGCGAAGACGACAGGGAAACGCGAGUGAGGCCUUGGUCCCAUGAAAAGCCGCAGAGAUGACCGUACCAAGAACUGACACAGGUACCCAAGGUGAGCAGCCUAAGGUGUGACGGGCAAAGUAUCGUGAAGGAACUCGGCAAAAUCGCUCUGUAACUUCGGGAGAAGGAGUGCCAGCUCUGAAGAGAGCUGGUCGCAGUGACCAGGGGACUCCGACUGUUUAAUAAAAACAUAGGCGACUGCUAGAUCGAAAGGUUGUGUAUAGUCGCUGAAUCCUGCUCAGUGCAGGUAUCUGAAAUCGGGUUUCAACCUGACGAAGGACCUGUAAACAGCGGGGGUAACUAUGACCCUCUUAAGGUAGCGUAAUACCUUGUCGCUUAAUUGGCGACUUGCAUGAAUGGCCCAACGAGAGUCCCACUGUCUCCACGAUACGUCCGGCGAAAUUGACAUUACUGGCGCACAGUCCAGUACCUUCAACCUGCAAGCGAAGACCCCAUAGAGCUUUACUGCAGCCUGGCGCUGUGCAGUCGCACUCCACGUGCUGAGUAGACGGGAGGCAUCGAUACCUAGGACGCCAGUCCUGGGAGGAGCCACACAUAGAGACACCGUCCUUGGAGUGUAACUGCACUUACUCCUACGGAGGACACCGUUUGGUGGGCAGUUUGGGUGGGGCGCCACGCGCUCGAAAACAUAACAAGCGUGCCCAAAGGUCAGCUUAGGUGGUUCAGUCUCCACCGUUAACCGUAAGGGGAAAAGCUGGCUUGACUUGGAUCGGAUCAAUAACGAUCGAAGAUGCGAAAGCACGGCCUAACGAACCAACGUGCCUCAUUUCUGGGGGCCGUUGAUAACAGAAAAGUUACCUUGGGGAUAAUUGAGUUGUCACCAGCAAGAGCACAUAUCGACCUGGUGGCUUGCUACUUCGAUGUCGUCUCUUCCCAACCUCCCGGUGCAGCAGCUGGGAAGGGUGGGGUUGUUCGCCCAUUAAAGGGGAUCGUGAGAUGGGUUUAGACCGUCGUGAGACAGGUUUGUUGCUUUGCGGUUGAAGCGCGUAAGAUGCCUGAUCGGAAGGGCCCUUUAGUACGAGAGGAACGAGGGCUCGGAGCCACUAGUUUACCAGUUGUCCGGCAGGGCAAUGCUGGGUAGCCACGCUCCAAUGGAUAAGAGCUGAAAGCAUCUAAGCUCGAAGUCAUCCGAAAGACGAGGCAUCUCAGGGGACUCGUAGAAGACGAGUUUGAUAGACAGCGGGUGUAAGCACCGAGGUUCGCCGAGGUGUUCAGCCCAGCUGCACUAACCCCCCGAGCAAUCUUGACA
rnacentral:rRNA from 1 species